UACGUAGGGUGCGAGCGUUGUCCGGAAUUAUUGGGCGUAAAGGGCUCGUAGGCGGUCUGUCACGUCGGGAGUGAAAACACGGGGCUUAACCCCGUGCCUGCUUCCGAUACGGGCAGACUAGAGGUAUGCAGGGGAGAACGGAAUUCCUGGUGUAGCGGUGAAAUGCGCAGAUAUCAGGAGGAACACCGAUGGCGAAGGCAGGUCUCUGGGCCACUACUGACGCUGAGAAGCGAAAGCAUGGGGAGCGAACAGG
rnacentral:rRNA from 1 species